AGUAGAAUAGUUGAUAUACAACUUUAAAUUGCAAGUUUAAAAGAGACCUAAAAAUUCUUCUACUU
rnacentral:tRNA from 1 species